UUCCGGAGAAAGUAUCUAGUGCUACAUGGGCUAUGGGUGGUACCAGUUUCCCCACGAAUCUGGACCGCACAACAUGGAUCAAGGGACAGGAUUGAACGUAACAUCCCACCCUGGCACAUAUGCAUAUUGGACCCUCCUGUUACUCUAAUUUGUGGUACAUGAUCCUCAUUUCCAGUCUCUCCCCACUGAGCACAUCGCCCCCAAAUCGUCCUAGGGUUAAAGGAGGCGAGACGCAGCCGGAGCUUGUCAAGGUGCCGCCGCCGGAGCUUGUCAAGGUGCCGCCGCCCGAGCUGAACCAACUGGCGGUCGCCUAGUACGGAUCUGGACCAACUCUCCGUCGCUAGUGGCAGCCGCUGCAGCCAUGGAGCUGUACGAAGCUGGACCGACCUCUGGCGCCGCUGCCUCACGAGAAGUCGUGCUAACGCGCAACAUGGAAAACUGCGAGGGUCUUUGGAGGCUGCAGCCGAACUCACCAAAGAAGGCCCAGCUACAACAAGAUUUGUGGCACUCCCGGAUGAAUCGCACAUUGGAGCGGCGCUUCUGCAUAUUCCGUCUCCAUUCGGGAAUGGAGCCACCGAGGAUGCGACAAGUUCCGGCGGGCGGUACAGAACCAGAGAUGUGGCCGUGUGGUCGACGGGCACAUGCAUCUGGAACAUCUCCGUAGGUCGCGCUGGAGGAUGGGAUGGGCGGUCCGGCCCUGUGCUCGGUGGUGGCGGAAGGUUGAGCUCCGGCUGCAUCACUCUCCUAACCCUAGUCACGAUUUUGGGGAUGAUUCGACUGUGCGAGCGGCAGUACAGAUAUUGGAAAUUAUGGACCAGGUGGAACAAAUUCGAAUAAAAGAAGGGACUCAUUUGUAUAUGUGCCACGGUGGGAUAUCCAUCUCAGAGUUGUGUUCGAUCCUGUCCCUUGAUCCAUGUUGUGCGGUCCAGAUUCAUGGGGAAACCGGUACCACCCAUAGCCUAUGUAGCACUAGAUACUCUCUCUAGGAUUCCGCUCUCCUUGGCCAGGCCGCCGCCAAUGACCAUCGUGCUCACUCUCCCUGCUCUCGCACUGCUCAGCUGAUGCCCUCACAACUCUCCCCUCCGCCUUCACUCCCCUCCGUAUCGUUGGGAACUUGCCCACCAAAGUCCAAGUGGAGGAGGCGCCGCCAUGACCCAGUCCUCCCCUCCCUAUUCGCGACGAUGAAGAGCUCGCAUGGAGGACAACGGCAGGGCGCCCACAUCGUGCGAACCUAGCGUUGCUGAAGACGGCCGGCGUCCGUGCUCCGGAACUGGGCAGGGAGGCCUCGAUCUCGGUCUGCAGGUGCAUGGAUCCGAGAGGCCCCAUAUGGAUUGUUCAUUUGAUUUUUUUUUCAGUUAAAACAAUCCGAUUUGUUUCUGCUGUUUUCCCAGAGUUUCUUGUUCAUAUUGCUUCAGCCUGAUUCCUAACGUCAAUUCUAUUGGUAGCAUUGGUGGCCCAGACGGAAGUAGUAAGCACGAGGGACAGCCGGCCGAAGGACCUACAGACUUUGUGGUUCACUUGGACAAUCAUACAUUUCAGCACGCACAACAGGAUGAAGCACUACUAGGAUGUAUUUGUUGUUGGCGUGUUCUUAGUUUUCCCAAGGGGAAUAACGUGGAUCACUUAUCAAUUUACUUGGCACUCAGCCAACCUCCGAUAUGGUUGGAGCCAAUCUUCAUGCCAGUUGUUUGCCGAAUCCGAAUACACGUUUAGUUCUGGAGGAGAGCACAGGAUAUGGGGGCAGCGUAGCAGGGGUCAUGAACAAUGACAGCUGAUUCUGUCUGGUUGUGUUGAGGUCAACAACUCAACGUCACUUACAUUUGUGCUAUUUUCAUGAUAAAGGGGAAAAGGAGUGGUACUUAUGCUAUGGUCGUAAUUGAAUUCCACAUAACUCAGUUCAGUGAUUGGGCGAAUCCGUUAGCUGCUGAAGAUUCUUAUGUAAUUUACACACUAAGAUUUUCUGAUCCUUGUUACUAUGUUAGUAGUAGAGAUAAUCGUCGUUGCAGGAUAUAUGUAAUUUCUAAAAUUUGUUCUUAUCUUUGCCUCAUAAUCUAAAUGUUGUGCGAUAAGGUGUAUAUAGGUAAUCAGUAAUUUCUUGUACUCUUUAAUAAGGAAAGGGCAUAAGGAUUUCUUUUUGCAGUAACCAUUAUGAACAAGAUAUGAGUUUUCUGUUCUAUAUUGCAAAUAAAUAAAUCUCCGCGAGAUAAACUAAAUUGGCACCUUCCAGAUUCAUGAUUCACAUAUUAUACAAGUUAUUAUCCAUUCAUUUAUCGAUGUGUUAUACUUUUUUACUUAGUUCCUAUACUUGAUGAAAAACAUGAAGUGAGAUUGUGAGUUCUGUUUAACCCAUGAAUGAAGUAAAAUUCUAUUUAGGUCACUAUUCUUAAAAAUCUUACACUAUUUGCUUGACAUAUUGUCACGCGUGCCACGUAUUUAGAUUUCCAACAGAAGGCUGUAAUCAAGCACCAGGAAAAAGAUCCUCAAAUUCUGAUUAUUUGAUUGCCUAUUCAAGGUACGUAUUUAUGGGAUUUUAUCUUUCUUUUUGCGCAUUGCUUUAUGAAGCGAUGUGAGUUCUUUGGAAGUUAUUAUAGAAAGUUUUCUCGUGAAAAUCUUCCUCAAGUUCCAAAAGUUUCUUUAUGAAGUUAUAUAAUGACAAUUAGACUACUAAUAGUAUCACUUUUGCUGAUAGACUAUUGCUUCCUUGCUCUAAUAUGUGAUUGCACCUGAAAUGACAUUCACGUUCUGCUUCCUGGUUAGCUCUUGGUCAACUUUACACCUGAAAUGACAUCAAGCUUUUCUUCAGUUCAUGAAAUUAGAUACCGGGGUAUUUGAAGAUGUGUCUAUGAUUCAGAGGUAAAUUAUUCCAUCCCCGACCUGCUGUCAGGUCCUAAAAGUUGAUUUUGUUUUGGUUAUGGCUUGUGUUGUAUCAAAAUAAGUAAGUAGAUUUAUUGUGAAGAUUAAGAUUGUUGUCAAGAUCGUGAUCCCUUGUUGCUUAUGUAAGUCUUUCAAGAUGAGGCGACCAUUUCUUCUGUUAAGUCUUUCGAGAAGAGCUGCCUAAAUCUUUAUUCAAUCGCUUGUUCAAAGCAACUAAUGGAAUUCUUUUGCCGGCCUCUUCGAAAAAAAUAUGUAAGUUUAUGGCUAAUUAUUUUGAGUGACAUUUUCUUCCCAUAUGGAAAAAGAAUAUAUAUAUAGAGCUGGACUAUUCUCGAACCCCCUUAAGAGGGGUUGUAGAAUAGCUAUUCUCAAACCCCCUAUUCCCGCUUUAGUUUCUUAUCCCAAAACCGCCCCAUCUGAACGCCCGAGAAAAGCAGGUACCACCGCCCACGCGGAACCACCUCGGGCUGACCCAAACGCCCCCCAUCGCUCGUCAACCCCCACGCGACCCAGUCGCCCGCCUGUGCCCCUUCCACGAGCUCCGGCGUGCCGCCGGCGGGUCAGCGAGCCACCUCCCCGACCUCCCAUGCCCCGCGGCGGGCCACACUCCCUCAACCACCUUCUGCGCUGCGUUGGCAGGCCACCGUGCACCCCGCGCCGCCCUCCCCUUCUAGGAUGAGGGCAUCCGUCCCGGCGCCGCCAAAUUCGCCUCCAAAUCGCGCGCAUCCCGCCCGGCGAUGCCCUGCCGCGCGCACCGAUAGGUUCUCCACUCUGCCUCAUGCGCUCCCCUUCCCUGGUAGCCCCCCCGCCCCCUUCUUCCCUGAUGGAUCCGAUGGAUCUCUGGCCGGAUUACCUCCACGCCACUGCCGCCGGCGCCCUCCACUGCUAGGAGUUCACCUUCCCCUGGCCCGAUCUGGAGCACACCGGCAUAGCCCACCCUUCCCUCCUCGUCCACAUGCCCCCGGAGCCUUUCUGAACCCCCGUGGUACUUGCGCGAGCAACGACCAUCCCUGGCCAUCUGUGUUGUUGCUGGAUGCACGACGCCUGCCUUUGUGGCUGCCCCUAUUCUGCUUUUGGGCCGUGGGUGCGGCUCCUAUCCCGGCACGCUGUUUCACUUCCUUCUUUCCCUGAACUAAUGCGUGAAGUCUAGAAGUUCAGCUCGUCCUAAUGCCUGUAGUUGGCUUUUAAAUACUUCAGGUUAUGGAUGACUCUGUUCCUUUUCUUUUAGCCGGUAUAUCAUGGGUGCACUGCACGGUGUGCAUUUCUUUCGUGAGGGAGUUCGCCUCUCUGUAGGAUUGCUUUAGUUACAUUUUUUUGGAUAAAACCAUUUCCUGCUAGUUGAUGUAGAAUUGUCGGCGAUGCUUAAACUUCUGAAUACAGCUGCAGGUGUGCUGAGAUUUUUAUACAAAUGGUGUAUUCGUGAUUUAUAUUCGCCAAAGUUUAGAUAAUUACAUCACACAAACUAAUUUCAUAAUUUUUUUGCAUCUGGUCCACCAAGAGAGCCACCGCUAGGAGUGCCUGCACCGUUGGGUGCUAUUUCUGACUUGCUCCAGCUGCUGAACUGAACUGGCAGUGCACUUAUGACACCUAUGGGGAGUUCACUAGCGCUCAUCGCUAGAUUUCGCCAGGAACCAUGGCGGGAGUCCAACUUGAAGCGCAGCACCCGCAGGUUGUGGGUACUAUUCUGAUUCUCGAGAGGAAGUUCACUUUGGAUUGAAAAAUAGUUCUAUCAGGACGCACAUGGAGCCCUCCAAUUGAAGAAGUUAUCUAGUCAGUUUGAAGCCUCCAUCUGUGAUGUGCGGCCCACGACUAGGAAGGCUUCCAUGCAGCCGCAGGGAGUCCUAACCAUUUGAAGUGUGAAGAAUAGCUGGACUCUCAUGCCCAGGCAAGUGAGGACACCAUGGACCUGCCGUGUGUGGAUGUUGCAGGGCAUGAGGUGGAGCAGGAGAGUCCUGUGCCGAUGUUGCACAAGGCUCGUUGGAACUCCGGAUUAGACAUAUGCAGUAGUUCACUUGCUCAUCGUGGGAAUGCCUCAUUCGGCAAAGACAGAAGUUCACUUACACGAUGAAGUAGGGGUGAUGCACCAGGUUCUGGAGUUAAGUUCUGCCAUUUUUCUGCAGUUUAGUUUAUUUGUUUCUCAGUUCAGUUUUUCCCUUUCCUGAAGUUCAGUUCAUCAUAAUGUGUCAAGUUCACUUGUCAUAAGCUAUGUGUUGUACUGUUGCCUGCAGGAUGACGUGCAAUUUCAAGGAAAGUAUGAUUUGUGGCAGGCUGUGAAUGGUAACCAGUAGACGUAGUAAUAACAUGUAUAUCGCGUUUGACCUCUCUGAACCACCUUCAAGAUGUGCGCCUUACCAGCUUCAGGGGAUGACUGAGCGUGGCUCACUGAGUACUUCGCCAAGAGUUCUGCAUCCUGUUCUAGUUUGACCUCUCUUUAAUUUUUAUUUUUACAUUAUGGCGUGAUCUCCAGCCACGGCACAUUGAUGGAGGCAUGCGCCACAGCCUUGGACAUGCAAGUAUUUACAAAAUAAUGAUUAUGUUACUUGGCAACCUAAUGGUACUUCCAAAUAUGCAUCAAAACAAUGUCAUUGUGGGAGUUUUCUUUCAUUUUUUUGUUGUAAUAAUUUCACUUUGAUAUGACAGGCUGAUGUUUUUUCU